rnacentral:rRNA from 1 species
GUGGGGAAUAUUCCGCAAUGGACGAAAGUCUGACGGAGCAACGCCGCGUGAAGGAAGAAGGCCUUCGGGUUGUAAACUUCUUUUAUGAGGGACGAAGGACGUGACGGUACCUCAUGAAUAAGCCACGGCUAACUACGUGCCAGCAGCCGCGGUAAUACGUAGGUGGCGAGCGUUGUCCGGAUUUACUGGGUGUAAAGGGCGCGUAGGCGGACUGGCAAGUCAGAUGUGAAAUACAGGGGCUCAACCCCUGAACUGCAUUUGAAACUGUUGGUCUUGAGUAUCGGAGAGGCAAGCGGAAUUCCUAGUGUAGCGGUGAAAUGCGUAGAUAUUAGGAGGAACACCAGUGGCGAAGGCGGCUUGCUGGACGACAACUGACGCUGAGGCGCGAAAGCGUGGGGAGCAAACAGGAUUAGAUACCCCUGUAGUCC